rnacentral:pre_miRNA from 1 species
UAUUUUGUCUGGGACAGAUUCUUAUCUAAUUGUGGCAAAUCCAUACAUGAUUGCUUAGAAUCACCCGUUAUUGUAGGCCUGAUUGCAUCAUUCUCCUUGGGUUGGAAAGAACUCGUCUUCGAGUUAUGUUCCUUAUCUAAAU